GGUUUUUGUUCUCUCCGCAUCAAAUGUUUUUGACAAGUUUCCAUGCAAUGUGUUUAUCAAUGUAGUCUUUUUAAGUAUUUUUCUUUUUGGAUUUUGCAAUUGUUUACAUAUGAAAAAAUUGAAUUCUUCGUGGUUUAAUUAUUAAUAUGCGUCAAAACUUUAAAAAAAAAAAAAUUCCAGAUACCAAGUUGUUGCAUAAUUCUGCUAAAGAAAUGUUUAUGGGAGAGUGGGAAAUAAAAUAAAAUAAAAACUAACAUAAUUGUGGAGAUCUUUAAUUAGUUAAAUGAAAA
rnacentral:lncRNA from 1 species